rnacentral:rRNA from 1 species
AAUAUUGCGCAAUGGAGGGAACUCUGACGCAGCGACACCGCGUGAGCGAUGAAGGUUUUCGGAUCGUAAAGCUCUGUCCUUGGGGAAGAAGGUCUUCGGACUUGACGGUACCUAAGGAGGAAGCCCCGGCAAACUACGUGCCAGCAGCCGCGGUAAUACGUAGGGGUCAAGCGUUGUCCGGAAUUAUUGUGCGUUAAAGGUGCGUAGGCGUCCUUUUAAGUCAGGUGUGGAAGCCCACGGCUUAACAGUGGGAUUGCAUUUGAAACUGGAAGGCUUGAGUAUCGGAGAGGGUAGUGGAAUUCCCAGUGUAGCGGUGGAAUGCGUAGAUAUUGGGAGGAACACCAGUGGCGAAGGCGACUACCUGGACGAAAACUGACGCUGAGGCACGAAAGCUAGGGGAGCAAACA